UACGAAGGGGGCGAGCGUUGUUCGGAUUUACUGGGCGUAAAGAGCUCGUAGGUGGUUUGUCGCGUUGUUCGUGAAAACUCACAGCUUAACUGUGGGCGUGCGGGCGAUACGGGCAGACUGGAGUACUGCAGGGGAGACUGGAAUUCCUGGUGUAGCGGUGGAAUGCGCAGAUAUCAGGAGGAACACCGGUGGCGAAGGCGGGUCUCUGGGCAGUAACUGACGCUGAGGAGCGAAAGCGUGGGGAGCGAACAGG
rnacentral:rRNA from 1 species